AUGGCACCGGGGUAGAACUAUUGGCUCAUGGGGAAGGCUGCCGUUGAUACAGUGCCCGCCCCUUUUUUCCUGUUCGGAGCGGAGGCGCUGCUCCAGCACAUCAGCCUGCGGGAUGGCUUCCAGCUUCAAGAAAUCUACAUUAGGGGCAGUAGCCCAGAGGAAGAAGACAGGUCCUAAACUUGAACUAACUGAAGACCAGAAGCAGGAGAUCCGAGAGGCUUUUGAUCUGUUUGAUACCGAUGGCACUGGGAACAUAGAUGUUAAGGAGCUAAAGCUCCCUCUUCUGCUUCUCCAGUUUAAACCCUGCCACACUCAGAGGACCAUGCAGAAAGGCAACCUCAUGGCAGGAGGGAUAGCUCAGUGGUUUGAGCAUUGGCCUGCUAAACCCAGGGUUGUGGCCAUGAGAGCACUAGGGUUUGAACCCAAAAAAGAAGAGAUCAAGAAAAUGAUAUCAGACAUUGAUAAGGAAGGAACAGGAAAGAUCAGCUUCAAUGAUUUUCUGGUGGUGAUGACUCAAAAGAUGGCUGAAAAAGAUUCCAAAGAGGAGAUUCUAAAAGCCUUCAAACUAUUUGAUGAUGAUGAAACUGGCAAAAUCUCUUUCAAAAACCUUAAACGUGUGGCCAAGGAACUUGGGGAAAAUCUCACAGAUGAGGAGCUACAGGAAAUGAUUGAUGAAGCAGAUCGAGAUGGAGAUGGGGAAGUGAAUGAGCAGGAAUUCCUGAGGAUCAUGAAGAAGACCAGUCUUUACUGAUAUGUUUGUUGUGGAUUUUCUUUUUAUACAGUUGGAAAUAUAUUUGACCUCCUCAGAUGUUGGUGGGUUGGCAAGAGUUUCCCAGGGAUGGAGUUGUCACUCACAGUUGAGUCUCAAUUUAAAAGCUUUUGGUAGUGUUCCAUCCAGUGCUCUUUGAUGGAUUCGUUAUCUUUAAGAAAGGAAUGUACCUGUUGGACAAUCAAAGGAGUUGCUCCAUUUCUACGGACCCCAAAUCAGAAUUCAACAUAUAUAUUUUAUACUAAUAACAUUUUAUUAAUUUAUUAAUUAAAUGUUAACUUGCUAACUUGAGACCAUGGGCGGAGACAUUAUGUAACCAUUUAACCAUUGGCUAAUGUGCUAUCUUGUCUUGCUGCAAAAUCUAUCCCGGGGUGUGGAACUGCCUACUCCGUCAUUUUCCCCCACACAUGGAAAACCUAUAUAUUCUAUUGUAAUCAAUUGAUUGACAGUGUCUCUGAGCCUAAUAAACAAGGUGACACUUCGCCUGC